rnacentral:rRNA from 1 species
GUUACAAUGGCAGGUACAGAGGGAUGCUACCGGGCGACCGGAUGCGGAUCUCGAAAGCCUGUCCCAGUUCGGACUGGAGUCUGCAACCCGACUCCACGAAGUUGGAUUCGCUAGUAAUCGCGCAUCAGCCAUGGCGCGGUGAAUACGUUCCCGGGCCUUGUACACACCGCCCGUCAAGCCAUGGGAGCCGGGGGCGCCUGAAGUCCGGGACCGCGAGGACCGGCCUAGGGCGAAACUGGUAACUGGGGCUAAGUCGUAACAAGGUAAC